AACAUGAUUACUGGGUCAUAUGGUUAAGAGUAUGUUAAGUUCUGUGAGAAACUGCCAAACUGUCUUCCAAAGCGGCUCUACCAUUUUGCAUUCCCACAAGUGUU
rnacentral:pre_miRNA from 1 species